UAACACAUGCAAGUCGAACGGUAACAGGAAACAGCUUGCUGUUUCGCUGACGAGUGGCGGACGGGUGAGUAAUGUCUGGGAAACUGCCUGAUGGAGGGGGAUAACUACUGGAAACGGUAGCUAAUACCGCAUAAUGUCGCAAGACCAAAGAGGGGGACCUUCGGGCCUCUUGCCAUCGGAUGUGCCCAGAUGGGAUUAGCUAGUAGGUGGGGUAACGGCUCACCUAGGCGACGAUCCCUAGCUGGUCUGAGAGGAUGACCAGCCACACUGGAACUGAGACACGGUCCAGACUCCUACGGGAGGCAGCAGUGGGGAAUAUUGCACAAUGGGCGCAAGCCUGAUGCAGCCAUGCCGCGUGUAUGAAGAAGGCCUUCGGGUUGUAAAGUACUUUCAGCGGGGAGGAAGGGAGUAAAGUUAAUACCUUUGCUCAUUGACGUUACCCGCAGAAGAAGCACCGGCUAACUCCGUGCCAGCAGCCGCGGUAAUACGGAGGGUGCAAGCGUUAAUCGGAAUUACUGGGCGUAAAGCGCACGCAGGCGGUUUGUUAAGUCAGAUGUGAAAUCCCCGGGCUCAACCUGGGAACUGCAUCUGAUACUGGCAAGCUUGAGUCUCGUAGAGGGGGGUAGAAUUCCAGGUGUAGCGGUGAAAUGCGUAGAGAUCUGGAGGAAUACCGGUGGCGAAGGCGGCCCCCUGGACGAAGACUGACGCUCAGGUGCGAAAGCGUGGGGAGCAAACAGGAUUAGAUACCCUGGUAGUCCACGCCGUAAACGAUGUCGACUUGGAGGUUGUGCCCUUGAGGCGUGGCUUCCGGAGCUAACGCGUUAAGUCGACCGCCUGGGGAGUACGGCCGCAAGGUUAAAACUCAAAUGAAUUGACGGGGGCCCGCACAAGCGGUGGAGCAUGUGGUUUAAUUCGAUGCAACGCGAAGAACCUUACCUGGUCUUGACAUCCACAGAACUUUCCAGAGAUGGAUUGGUGCCUUCGGGAACUGUGAGACAGGUGCUGCAUGGCUGUCGUCAGCUCGUGUUGUGAAAUGUUGGGUUAAGUCCCGCAACGAGCGCAACCCUUAUCCUUUGUUGCCAGCGGUCCGGCCGGGAACUCAAAGGAGACUGCCAGUGAUAAACUGGAGGAAGGUGGGGAUGACGUCAAGUCAUCAUGGCCCUUACGACCAGGGCUACACACGUGCUACAAUGGCGCAUACAAAGAGAAGCGACCUCGCGAGAGCAAGCGGACCUCAUAAAGUGCGUCGUAGUCCGGAUUGGAGUCUGCAACUCGACUCCAUGAAGUCGGAAUCGCUAGUAAUCGUGGAUCAGAAUGCCACGGUGAAUACGUUCCCGGGCCUUGUACACACCGCCCGUCACACCAUGGGAGUGGGUUGCAAAAGAAGUAGGUAGCUUAACCUUCGGGAGGGCGCUUACCACUUUGUGAUUCAUGACUGGGGUGAAGUCGUAACAAGGUAACCGUAGGGGAACCUGCGGUUGGAUCACCUCCUUACCUUAAAGAAGC
rnacentral:rRNA from 1 species